UACGGAGGGUGCAAGCGUUAUCCGGAUUUAUUGGGUUUAAAGGGUGCGUAGGCGGGCUUGUAAGUCAGUGGUGAAAUCCCGAGGCUCAACCUCGGAACUGCCAUUGAUACUGCAGGUCUAGAGUACAGAUGAGGUAGGCGGAAUGUAGCAUGUAGCGGUGAAAUGCUUAGAUAUGCUACAGAACACCGAUUGCGAAGGCAGCUUACUAGACUGUUACUGACGCUAAGGCACGAAAGCGUGGGGAGCGAACAGG
rnacentral:rRNA from 1 species